rnacentral:lncRNA from 1 species
UAAACUAGAUCAUAACAAUUCAUCUUGUCUAUAAAUAGAAGAGGUUAGCAAGAAGGAUACACAAAUCAUCAAAACAAAUUAAUAUCCCUAAAGAUGAAGACCAUAUUACUCUUUCUUUUCCUUGAAAUAAUAUUCCUUCCCUUGUCAGCCUUGGCAACUCCCAACAACCAAGUAUUGAUAGAUGUACUCGAUACUAAUGGUAAUCCCCUCAACAAAAGCAAUAGGUACUGGAUAACUCCAGCCUACACCACUAUGGACGGUGGAGGCAUACGUGUUGCUAAUCUUGAUAGUGAUCUACAACAAAUCACUAUGUGUCCUACAUCAGUAGUACAAUCCCACCUUCCUACAGACGAUGGUAUCGCAGUUUAUUUUACACCUAAGAAUCCAAAACAUCAAAAUAUUGUGGAGUCCACUCCGGUAAACAUCCAUUUCUAUUUUGAUUAUCCUUUGUGUUCUAACCUAAAUGCAUGGAAGGUUGACAAUCUUGUAUCAGAAUUUCUGCCAAUUCUACACACCAUAAGCACAGGUGCAAAGGAUGAGAGCAGUUGGUUCCAAAUUAAGCCUACAACAAAUAGAAAGUAUAAGCUAGUGUUCUGUCUCUUUGACACUUAUUGCCAAGACAUUGGCGUCGUCUCACAAAGUGGUUAUCAUCGUUUGGUUCUCUCGGACAACCCAAAGCCCUUUGUGUUCAAACUGGAUGAUAGAAUUGGAAUGGCAGCAGAAGUAUGAUCUUGUCAUGUUAUGCCUAGAUCUACUCUAUGUAAUGUAUAAUAAUAAUGCAUGCAGGAACUUUGUCCCAUUGCAUGGAUGUAAAACUUGAUAAUAAUGUAAUGGGGGUCUGACUAUGUGCCCCUUAUAUAUGAUCACAUGAUAUAUAUUAUGUAUUGAUAAGGAUAUCAUAAAAGACUCUGGUUCCUUCCUUGAGAAGUCUCUUUAGUCCUCUAUGAUUUCAAAGAAUUAAUUAAGGCACAUAAGAAUAAGUACAGAGCCUGGAUCAAUAAACAUCGUAAAUGCUCAAUGACCAACUGGGAAAAUACAUGCAAUGACCUGUUCGACAACUAACUAUGAAAAUCAUGUAGUCAUAUAUACGAUCACUUUUUUCAAGAUACUAUUAUUACUAUAUUAAAAGUCGCUGCGAUUAAACAUUAGUACUAAAUAACUAUUCUCAGUUGUCAAUUUGGAAUAAAACAUCACUUGCUUCUUACCAUUUUGGCCAGUCAUUUUUUUGUCGACAUUCUGUGACAGAUUGAUGUACAUGAUCCCCACUAUCUUGCAAGAUUUUCGUUGCAACAUUAUAUGCGAAGACAUAAUCCACUACUAUUUCAGAUCUAUUCAAAUUAGUUUCAACAUCACUUGAAUUUAUGGAUAGUUUCUCAUUUUCUUGAGUCUCAGGCUCAUUAAUUCCUUCAAGAAUAUCAACAUUGCUCAAAUCUUGAACUUUCAUAUGAGGAUCUUUCAUAGUGUCAUCUUGACCAUUUGUUUUUCUUUUUCUAGGAUUUCGAUCCUUAGAACCUAAUGGUACACCAGGCUUCAAGCGCGCUUUAGAUUCAUUAGCUAUGACACUAAUGGAUGGUCCUUUAGGGACAUCAAUUCAAAUUGAGAAAUAUUCUGCAGGAAUAUGUGAUUUAGUGAUCCUUUUCAAAUCUGUAAAUGCGUUUGACAUUUGAUUUGCAAUUUUCUGCAGAUGAAUAAUCUUUUGUACUUCUUGUCCACAAAUAGAAGCAUGUGAUUAAGUUUAGAUAGUGAUGGAUUUUUUCACAAAAUUUCUCUUUUGAUGUCAUUAUUUUCUCCCCCCAAUUUUUGGAAAACUAUUUCAUCAAACCGAUAAUCUGCAAAUCGAGCCGUGAACAUAUCUACCAUUAAUGGUUAAAGAUAGUAAAUAAUGGAGGGUGAUUCAAACCCAACAUAAGUUUCUAACCUUCUUUGAAGGCCCAUUUUGGUGCGAUUUAGUUAUUCUAUAGGCACAUAUACACCGUAUCCAAAAAUUCUCUGAUGAGAUAUAUUAGGCUCUUGAUCAAAAAACAAUUGCAACGGAGAAAAUUUAUGAUAAUUUGUCGGUCUAAGACGAACAAGUGUUGCAGCAUGCAAAAUUGCACGACCCUAAACAAAGUGGACAACUUGGUUUUCAUAAGCAAUUGUCUUGCUAUCAACUGCAGACGUUUAAUUAAUGACUCGACAAGGCCAUUUUAAGUGUGAACAUGGGGUACAGAAUGUUCGACUCUUAUUCCAAUCGAUAAACAAUAGUCAUUAAAUGCUUGGAAUGAAAAUUAUGUGGCAUUAUCAAGGCGUAUAGACUUAAUUUGAUUAUGAGGAAACUGUGCCCGUAAUCGUAUUAUUUGUGCCAACAAUUUUGCAAAUGCCAAGUUGCGAGAUGACAAUAGGUGCACAUGAGAACAUUUAGAAGAAGCAUCUAUUAGGACCAUAAAGUAUCUAAACGACCCACUAGGUGGGUGAAUGGGUCCAUAAAUAUCCCCAUGUAUGCGUUCCAAGAAUGCGGGGGACUCAAUCCCAACUUUUGUUGGCGAUGGACUCACAAUUAUCUUGCCUUGAUAAUAAGCAUUACACGAAAAUUCAACAUUCGAAAUAACCUUCAAGUUUUUUAAUGGAUGCCCAUUUGAAUUUUCUAUGAUUCGCUUCAUCAUUAUAGAUCUAGUAUGUCCCAGAUGAUCAUGUCAAAGUACGAAAGUAUUGGAAUUAGUAAACUUCUUGUUUACUAUAGACUGUGUCUCAAUUGCACAAAUCUUUAGCCAAUAUAGGUCAGAAGAUAAAGCAGGAAACUUUUCUAUAACACAUGUUUGCCAAGAGACAUUCUUGGUGAUACAAAGAUAUUCAAGAUUCAUCUCAUCAAUUGUCUUGAUAUGAUAACCAUUUUCAUGGAUAUCUUUAAAAUUCAUUAAGUUUCUCCGAGACUUAGGAGAAAACAUAACAUUAUUUAUGAUGAGUUUAGCUCCCUUGGGCAAAAUUAUAAUGGAUUUUUCGAAGACUUCAAUCAAAUUAGCACUACCAAAAAUUGUAGUAAUAAUAAUCUUGACCAUGUUUAGAUGAGAGAAAUAUUUUUUGUCUCUGAAUAACGUAUGUGUAGUGCCAGAAUCAAUCAAACAAAUAUCUUCACAAUUGGACAGGUUAUUUUGAAAAUUAUCCGUAUCUUCAAGUACAAUAACAUACACCAAGUUAAAUAUAUAUUAAAUCUUUGUACAAAGAGAAAGAUUAUACUAUAAGGAAUUGUUAAUCACACUUUACUAAGCAAUUAAAGAGAAUAUGUUCAAUUAGUGUGUGCUUAGCUUAGCUUAACAUUUUAUUUUUCAAUAGAAAGAAGAAAAAAAUGCAUUGUAUUUUUCAAUAAUUAAAAAAAAAAAAAAGAAUAAAAACACGUAUCUAUGGAACCAACAAUCAAUUCACUAAUAAACAAUAAUAACUUGCAUGGGCCACCAAUCAAGUCUCUUUUUUUUUCUGUUUUCUUUUUCUUUUGUAGCGCCUAUCAUUUGCUUUACUUAAUGUAUCGUCCAAAUUUUUUUUUUUUUUUUUUUUCAGCACCUACCAUUUGCUUUAAAUAAUGUAUCAUUUGUUCCUUUCUUUUUUGUCAAUAAAUAAUGAAAAAAUUGAAAUUCAAUUUAAUGCAAUAAUAAACCACAAUAAUAAAAUUAAACUAAUUAAUAUUAAUCAAAAUCUAAUACUCAUGCAAACAACUACUUUUACAUGAUUUUUAUUCACUAACUCUUAUUAAUAGUAAAAAAAAUAAAUUAAAAAUUAUUCAUUCUUCCAUGUUUACGAAACUGUCACCAAUCAAGUGAUCAAUUUCUUUCUACAUCCAACCAUGUGAUGUCAACAUUAUUUUCAGUGAGAAAGUUAGCUCGAAAUUUCUUUCUUUUUCUUUAGUGAUGCUAGAUAAAGAUCAACCAAGUGCUUGAGAGCACGACAAUCACGUGAAUAAUGUCCUUUUUCACCACAUCAAAAAUAAGUAAUUGUUUCACGUUUCUCAUCUUUUUUUUUGUUCAACCAAUGAUUAACACCCGGAAUAGAAUUUCUUUCUUGGUCAUCACGACCACGACCACGACCAUAACCACGACCACGUCUAGGGUCGCGACCUUUUCCACGCCUAGCAUGGUAAGCAUGCAUAUCAUUCACCUCAGGGAAUGGUGCAGAUACAGUAAGUGGAUUCUUGUAAUUUUUCGUCAAAAAAUUAUUAUUUUAUUCAGCCACGAGAAGAUGAGAACUCAGUUCAGUAUAUUUCUUGAAACCUUUUUCUCGAUAUUGCUUCUGUGAUAGUAUAUUCGAGGUAUGAAAGUGGAGAGCGUCUUUUCCAUCAUAUCGUCAUCAUUGACCGUCCCUCCACAUAGUUUCAAUUAAGAAAAAAUUCUGAACAUGGCAGAAUUGUACUCAUGAACAGACUUAUAGUCUUGAAACCUUAGAUGCAUUCAUUCAUAUUGUGAUUUUGGGAGGAUGACCAUCUUUAAGUGGUCAAGCCUUUCUUUUAGGAUAUUCCACAAUACGAGUGGAUCCUUAGUAGUAAGGUAUUCCAUUUUUAGAAUUUCGUCAAGAUGAUGAUGGAAUAAAAUCAUAGCAUUAGCACGAUUUUGACUAGAUGCUGUAAUUUCUUUCUUUAUGGUGUCUCCAACACCCAUAACAUCUAGGUGGAUAUCAACAUCCAGCACCCAUGAAAUAUAGUUCUUGCCCGAACAUUGAAGUGUAACGAACUCACACUUAGUAAGAUUAUUAGACAUACGAAAAAGGGAAGAAAAAUAAUACCUUAGCCUUUAACUUUGAGAUGGUGGAGUCUUGUGCUGAUAACAUUUUAUGAAAUAACAAAGAAUAAAGAACAAGAGUAUAGAGAGAAGAGAGAGUAAUUGUUAAUUCUCUUGAGGAUGAUUUAAAAUGAAGGAAUUCCUUCUAUUUAUAGGGAAAAUUUGCUCCUAUUUUCACACUAAAAAGAUAAAUACAUCAAGUCCUGAUAGACAUCAACUAAUUCUUGAUAGAUCUUGACAGACAUUCACUAUAACUGAUAUACAUCAAUAUCAUAACAGGAGCAAAAUAAUUGUCUAUUCUUGAUAUGUUAAAAGUGACAAAUAAAAGUGAAAAUCUUAUCUUUUAAAUAAUGAACAAGUAACAUGAUAGAUGGAGUAAAUGACUUCUCCACAUCUACUUUAUAUAUUAUAAUAAAAACAUAUGAUUUUUUUACGAAUAUAUUAUUGGGUUCAUAGUAUAUGAAAGAAGUGUGAAUGAAAAACUGGAGAAUAAAAUGGUGGAGGGGAAGGAGACACUAAAAUGGAAAGUGUACUCCCAAAUUAGAAAGUUUACUCUUUCUCCCACAUUGGUGGAAGAAGAGAACUUGAAAGUUUUUUAUAAUCAAGAACACUUACUCCACAUGACAAGUGAGACAAGAAAUAAUAGAUGCCUCUCGCCAUUGUCGUCGUCGCUCGCUCGGCUCGACUUCGACUUCGGCUUCGGCUUCGGAUUUGGAUUUGGAUUUGGAUAAUGAUCGAUCGAUGAGAUCUAUCUUUUUGGACAAACUUCUGCAGUGUUUCAACAGUUGCACUGUUUCAAGUGAACUGAUGCAUUAUUUUCAAACUGGUGCUUCAAAAAUGAUAUUGUUCUGAACUGAUAAACUGAGGCUAUAGAAGGUUGGAACGGGUUCAAAAUGAUGCUUCAGUAGGAUGUAAUACUUCAAUGAAGUGACACACUGAUUCAUGAAAUGAGAUGACUGUUCAGGAAAAGAUGCAAUCUUUGAUGAACAGACAUGAACUUACAGCAAAGGUGUAACCUUUGGAGUGAACCAUUGCCUCUUUUCAGAAGAGGCAUGUUAUGGCUAUAUAAACCUGCUUUCAUCCACAGGUUUUGAUAUGAAAUUUCAGAAUAAAAAAUACUCUUCUUGUCUUCAAAAAUUCUGUGUAAUCAUUCAAACUGUUGAGUGUGUUCGACGAGUCUAAAUAUUUGAGGUACCGCUAUAUUUGGAUUGAAGGCCAUUUUAUCCUGGGAUGAAAAAUUCCAUAACCUCGGGUACAGUGAGGGGAAUUGUUUCCUUAAGGAAACUCCGUGAAUUCAGACGACUUGGCCUUAUUCAUUUCUGUUUCAUCUUGAUUUCUGAAAAUAAAAUACACUUCUAAGAAAGAUCACUUUGAUCCUUUGUUGAGGGUAUUUUUUGUACUUUAUUGAGUUCUUAUUUUAAACUUGAACUAGUUGAAGUUGUUUUUCUACAUACACAGAUUCUGCGUACCCGUAGAAAGAAAUAACAAUCUUAAGGAAACAAAUUUCAGAAUCUGUAUAGCUUGUUUUUGGAAAUUACAGUUUUAACUUUCUACUCUGCCUGAACUUAACUAGUAAUUUGAAGUCAUAAAAACUUCAUCACAAGUUAAAGAUCAUUCGGUUGACAAUUGGAAGUCAUAAAAACUUCAUUGUCAACUAGAAACAAGAAGAAAAGUUUAAAGUUGCUUAACUUUAUAAGUAGUAAUCUGAAAAUACUAAGUAUUUUUUAUCUUGUGGUGACAGGAAAAAUGACAAGCGAUAGUCAAAUGCAAGAUGCGGCAACGUCUGUGGGGACAACUAAUAUUGCCACUUCAAGUCGCACAAAUGCUCCGCCUACAAUGGAAUCGACGGAGAAGCCCGAAAAAUUUACGGGCAUUGACUUUAAACGAUGGUAGCAAAAGAUGUUUUACCUCACCACUCUGUGUAUGCAACGGUUCACUAGAGAAGACGCUCCUGACGUGCCCGAGGGAACCUCGGACAAAGGGCAUUUCAUAAUUGUAGAAGCUUGGAAACAUUCAGAUUUCCUUUGCAGGAAUUAUAUUCUGAGUGGUCUCCAAGAUGACCUCUACAAUGUUUACAGUGGAACUAAGACAUCGAAGAAAUUAUGGGGGGAACUUGAACGAAAAUAUAAAACAAAGGAUGUGGGAAUUAAGAAAUUCCUUGUUGCACGAUUCCUGGACUUUAAAAUGAUAGAUACGAAAUCGGUUGUCUCUCAAGUGCAGGAGUUGCAAGUCAUCAUAUAUGAUCUCCUAGCAGAAGGUAUAUGUGUGAAAAAUACCUUAGUUGAACAAAUUUAAAAAGUUCUUAAUACUCACAAAAAUUGUUUUUAGGUUUGAUUGUGAAUGAUGCAUUUCAAGUAGCAGCGAUAGUUGAGAAGCCACUACCUUUGUGGAAAGACUUCAAAAAUUACUUGAAGCAUAAACGCAAGGAGAUGACUGUUGAAGAUCUUAUUGUCUGACUAUUGAAGAUGAUAAUAAAGCUACUGAGAGAAGGUCAAAAGGGAAUUCUACAAUUAAUGGAGCCCAUAUUGUAGAAGAUGACCAAAACAAUUCUAAGAAAAGAAAAAAAGCUGAACGAGGAAGCAAUCAACCCAAGAAGAAAUUCAAGAAAAAAUGCUUCAAUUGUGACAAGAUUAGCCACAAGUCCACGGAUAACCCGAAGAAAGGCAAGAAAACGGAUCAAGCAAAUAUGAUUGAAUCCAACAAAGAAUGCGGUGAUUUAUGUUCUAUGUUCUCAGAAUACAACUUGGGGGGAAAUCCUCUUGAAUGGUGGAUGGAUUCAGGUUCCACCCACCAUGUAUGUACCAACAAAGAGUUGUUUUCGUCAUUCGCUCCAGAUCAAGUAGAAGAAAUGAUCUACAUGGCUAACUCCGCUAUUGCUAAGGUAGAAGGAGCAGGAGAAAUAUGUUAGAAAAUGACUUCAAGAAAGGUCUUAACACUUAACAAUGUCUUUUAUGUUCCGGAGUUACGUAGGAAUUUAAUUUCUGUUUCACUUCUAGACAAGAACGGAUUCAAAUGUGUAACCAUUUCUGAAAAAAUUGUAAUUAGCAAAGGAGAAAUGUAUGUGGAAAAAGUCUAUCUGACCGAAGGCCUUUAUAAGAUGAAUGUAAUGACUGUUGAAAUAAACAAAAGUUCAAAUUCUUAUUAUUUUCUUGAGUCUUAUGAUUUAUGGCAUGAACAUUUUGCCCAUGUUAAUUAUAAAAUGUUACGAAAAUUGAUUAACUUAGAAGUUUUACCAAACUUUGAGUGCACUAAAUCAAAGUGUCAAAUGUGUGUGGAAUCGAAGUAUGCACGGUAUCCUUAUAAGUCCGUUAAAAGGAAUUCCAAUCCCUUAGACUUAAUACAUACUGACAUUUGUGAUAUGAAGUCAACACCAUCACGUGGUGGGAAAAAGUAUUUCAUAACUUUUAUUGACGAUUACACGAGAUAUUGUUAUGUCUAUCUGCUAAAUAGUAAGGAUGAAGCAAUAGAUGCGUUUAGGCAAUAUAAAACUGAAGUUGAAAAUCAAUUAGACAAAAAGAUCAAAAUCAUAAAAAGUGAUAGGGGCGAAGAAUAUGAAUCUCCCUUUGCGUAAAUAUGUGUAGAGAAUGAAAUCAUCCAUCAAACUAUGGCCCCAUAUUCACCUCAAUCUAAUGGAAUUAUGGAAAGGAAAAACCAAACUUUGAAGGAAAUCAUGAAUGCCUUCCUUAUAAGUUCUGGAUUACCGCAAAACUUGUGGGGGGAGGAUAUCCUUACGUCUAACCGUAUACUCAAUAGAGUUCCCCAUAGUAAGAUACAAUCAAUUCCUUAUGAAAAGUGGAAAAUAAGAAAACCCAACUUGAAAUAUUUCAAAGUGUGGGGGUGUCUAGCAAAGGUCCAAGUUCCUGUGCCUAAAAGGGUUAAGAUAGGACCGAAGACGGUGGACUAUGUGUUCAUAGGAUAUGCUAAAAGCAGUAAGGCAUGUCGAUUUUUGGUUCAUAAAUCCAAACAUUUGGAUAUUAAUGAAAAUACGGUAAUUGAAUCAGACAAUGCUGAAUUCUUUGAAAACAUUUAUUUGUAUAAAACUAGAUAUGAACAGUCUAGUGGGGGGUCUAAACGACCUCGUGAUGAACCAAUUGAAAAUGAACAUAAUGAAUAAAAUCCAAGAUGUAAAACACGUCAAAGAACGUUUACUUCGUUUGGAGUGGAUUUUGUGACAGUUUUUUGGAAAAUGAGCCUCAAACAUUUAAGGAAGCAAUGGCAUCUUCGAAUUCAUCCUUUUGGAAAAAGGCAGUCAAUAGUGAGAUAGAUUCAAUCUUAAGCAACAAUACAUGGGAAUUGGUUGACCUUCCUCCCAGAAAUAAACCUUUAGGUUCCAAAUGGAUCUUCAAAAGAAAGAUGAAACUGGAUGGUACUAUUGAUAAAUACAAGGCAAGACUUGUAGUAGAAGGCUUCAAACAGAGAGAAGGCCUUGAUUACUUCGAUACAUACUUGCCAGUAACAAGGAUAACAUCGAUUCGAAUGUUAAUUGCCUUGGCUGCGGUAUAUGGCCUUGAGAUCCAUUAAAUGAAUGUGAAAACCGCUUUCCUAAAUGGAGAAUUGAAGGAAGAAAUAUACAUGGAACAACCUGAGGAUUUUGUGGUUCAUGGAACAACCUGAGUAUUUUGUGGUUCCAGGAAAGAAAAAUAAGGUGUGUAAUUUUAUUAAGUCAUUGUAUGGACUAAAGCAAGCACCUAAACAAUGGCAUACGAAGUUUGACCAAACUAUGUUGGCAAACAGAUUCAAAAUAAAUGAAUGUGAUAAAUGUGUUUAUAUUAAAGACAUUCCAAAUCACCAAGUCAUUAUUUGUUUAUAUGUGGAUGAUAUGUUAAUCAUCAGUAGAGACAUUUCUAACAUAAAUGCAACAAAAUGAAUGCUCGAGAGAAAGUUUGAUAUGAAAGACCUUGGAGUUGCGAAUGUGAUCUAAGGUAUAAGAAUCCAAAGAACUCCACAAAGGUUGGCAUUGUCACAGUCUCAUUAUGUCGAAAAGGUACUUGACAAAUUCAAGUAUAUGAAAUUCGGUAUUGCCAAGACUCAAUUGGAUGCGAGCUUUGCACUUCGAAAGAAUGAAGAUGAAAGUGACUUGCAAUUGGAGUAUGCAAGAGUAUUGGGAUGUUUAAUGUAUAUAACGAACUGUACACGACCAAACAUAGCAUGCGCUAUCAGUAAAUUGAGUUGGUACACGAUUAAUCCCAACAAAACUCAUUGGAUGGCAUUAAAAGAGUUUUGGGGUUUCUUAAAUACACUCAAGAUUAUGCUUUGCAUUAUAAUAAAUAUCCUGUGGUACUUGAAUGAUCUAGUGAUGCAAAUUGGAUCACCGGAUGAAACGAAGUAAAAUCCAUAAGUGGAUAUGUAUUUACUAUUGGUGGAGGAGCGGUCUCUUGAAAAUUAUCCAAACAGACUUGUAUUGCUCGCUCUACAAUGGAAUAUGAAUUUAUCGCAUUAGAUAAAGCCAGUGAAGAAGCAGAAUGACUCCACUAUUUCUUGGAAGAUAUUCCUUAUUGGCCCAAACCAGUGGAACCAGUAUGUAUACACUGUGCUAGCCAAGAGGCAAUAGGCAAGGCAGGGAGCAUGAUGUACAACGGUAAAUCUCGUCACGUACAACGGAGACAUAAUACCGUUAGAAAACUUCUCUCUAGUGGAAUUAUCACUAUUGACUAUGUAAAGUCAAAGUAUAAUAUGUCGGAUCCAUUUACAAAAGGCCUAUCUAGAGAAGGAGUGGAAAGAACAUCUAAGAGAAUGGGUUUAAGGCGUAGGAUGAGCCAGCAUGGAGGUUACUCUGCCUAGCAGACUGGAAAUUCCAAGAGCUAGGUUUAAGGAGAUCAAACAAAGUUGUGUCUGACAGGUUCAACAUUGUCAAUUACCCAACUCAUUCUCAUGAUGUAGACAAUGUUUAGUAAACAAGGAUACGACUUAAGGUGAAAAGUCUUUUAAUGCUUAUCUAAAUUUGGCAGAUUAGACCAAAUAGUUUAAUCUACAGGAUUGAAUGUUUAGAAAUCACCUAUGUGAGAGCGAAGUGGAAGCCUCUUCAAAGAGAAUGUUAGUAAAGGAUUAUUCUCCAAGCUCUCAUGAAACCGGGACGUGCUUAUUGCUGAAAAGAACAAAACCAUGAGAACCAUAAAUUGUAAAAGGCUGGUUGUGUGACAUAUAUUGUCUAGGUGUACAUUAAAGCUCGACGGUUCAAGGAUAUCAAAUCUACCGAUUGACCGAGUGCAUCCGAUGCAUGUUCACUACGGAAAGUUUAAAGGGAAACCCACUUAUCCAGAUGCAAUCAGUCUUUGCCUGAUGAUCACAUACUUGUCCGUAAAAUUUUUAUGAUAAAUAACCAUUCCCCAUUCAUGUGGGGGAUUGUUGGGUUCAUAGUAUAUGAAAGAAGUGUAAAUGGAAAAAUAGAGAAUAAAAUGGUAGAGGGGAAGAAGAUACUAAAAUGGAAAGUGUAAUCCUAAAUUAGAAAAUUUACUCUUUCUCCCACAUUGGUGGAAGAAGAGAACUUAAAAGUGUUUAUAAUCAAGAACACUUACACCACAUGGCAAGUGAGGCAAGAAAUAAUACAUGCCUCGUGCCGUCAUCGUCGUCGCUCGCUCGGCUCAGCUUUGGAUUUGGAUUUGGAUUUGGAUUUGGAUUUGGAUAUCGAUCGAUGAGAUCUAUCUUUUUGGACAAUCUUUAUUUGAAUUCUGAAGAAUGCUAAGGAAAAAUACUGUAAAAUUUUUCUGCAGUGUUUCGACAGUUGCACUAUUUCAAGUGAACUGAUGCAUUAUUUUUGAACUGGUGCUUCAGAAAUGAUACAUUAUUUUGAACUGGGGCUACAGAAGGUUGCAAUGGUUCGAAAUGAUGCUUCAAAAGGAUGUAAUCCUUCAAUAAAGUGAGGUGUUACCUUUGGAGUGAACCAUUGCCUCUUUUCAGAAGAGACAUGUUAUGGCUAUAUAAACCUGCUUUCAUCCACAGGUUUUGAUACAAAAUUUCAGAAUAAAAAAACCUCUUCUUGUCUUCAAAAAUUCUGUGUGAUCAUUCAAACUGUUGAGUGCAUUCGAUGAUUCCAAAUAUUUGAGGUACCGCUAUAUUUGGAUUGAAGGCCAUUUUAUCCUGGGAGAAAAAAUUUCAUAAAAAAAUUCAUAACCUCGGGUACAGUGAGGGGAAUUAUUUACUUAAGGAAACUCUGUGAAUUCAGAUGACUUGGCCUUAUUCAUUUCUGUUUCAUCUUGAUUUCUGAAAAUAAAAUACACUUCUAAGAAAGAUCACUUUGAUCUUGUGUUGCGCAUAUUUUUUGUACUUCAUUGAGUUCUUGUUUUAAACUUGAACUAGUUGAAGUUGUCGUUCUACAUAUACAGAUUCUGCGUACCCGUAGAAGGAAAUAACAUAUAUAUAUCAUCAUUUAGUAUAAAGAAACAAAUUAAACGUGGAUGGUUCACAUAAAUUAGAGCAUAACAAUUAAUCUUGUCUAUAAAUAGAAGAGGUUAGAAAGAAGGAUACACAAAUCAUUAAAACAAAUUAAUAUCCCUCAAGAUGAAGACCAUAUUACUCUUUCUUUUCCUUGAAAUAGUAUUCCUUCCCUUGUCAGGCUUGGCAACUCCCAACAACCAAGUAUUGAUAGAUGUACUCGAUAUUAAUGGUAAUCCCCUCAACAAAAGCAAUAGGUACUGGAUAACUCCGGCCUACACCACUAUGGACGAUGGAGGCAUACGUGUUGCUAAUCUUGGUAGUGAUCUACAACAAAUCACUAUGUGUCCUACAUCAGUAGUACAAUCUCACCUUCCUACAGACGAUGGUAUCGUAGUUUAUUUUACACCUAAGAAUCCAAAACAUCAAACGAUUGUGGAGUCCACUCCGGUAAAUAUCCAUUUCUAUUUUGAUUAUCCUUUGUGUUCUAACCUAAAUGCGUGGAAGGUUGACAAUCUUGUAUCAGAAUUUCUGCCAAUUCUACACACCAUAAGCACAGGUGCAAAGGAUGAGAGCAGUUGGUUCCAAAUUAAGCAUACAACAAAUAGAAAGUAUAAGCUAGUGUUUUGUCUCUUUGACACUUAUUGCCAAGACAUUGGCAUCGUCUCACAAAGUGGUUAUCAUCGUUUGGUUCUCUCGGACAACCCAAAGCCUUUUUGCUCAAACUGGAUGAUAGAAUUGGAAUGGCAGCAGAAGUAUGAUCUUGUCAUGUUAUGCCUAGAUCUACUCUACGUAAUGUAUAAUAAUAAUGCAUGUAGGUACUUUAUCCUGUUGCAUGGAUGUAAAACUUGAUAAUAAUGUAAUAGGGGUCUGUCUAUGUGCCCCUUAUAUAUGAUCACAUGAUAUAUAUUAUGUAUUGAUAAGGAUAUCAUUAAAGACUGUGGUUCAUUCCUUGAGAAGUCUCUUUAGACCUCUAUGAUUUCAAAGAAUUAAUUAAGGCACAUAAGAAUAAGUACAGAGCCUGGAUCAAUAAACAUCGUAGAUGCUCAAUGACCAAUUGGGACAAUACACGCAAUGACCUGUUCGACAACUAACUAUGAAAAUCAUGUAGUCAUAUAUACCAUCACUUUUUUCAAGAUACUAUUAUUUCUAUAUUAAAAGUCGCUGUGAUUAAACAUUAGUACUAAAUAACUAUUCUCAGUUGUCAAUUUGGAAUAAAACAUCACUUACUUCUUCCCAUUUUGGCCAGUCAUUUUUUGGUCGACAUUCUGUGACAGAUUGAUGUUCAUGAUCCCCACUAUCUUGUAAGAUUUUCGCUGCAACAUUAUAUGCAAAGACAUAAUCUACUACUAUUUCAGAUCUAUUCAAAUUAGUUUCAACAUCACUUGAAUUUAUGGAUAGUUUCUCAUUUUCUUGAGUCUCAGGCUCAUUAAUUCCUUCAGGACUAUCAACAUUGCUCAAAUCUUGAACUUCCAUAUGAGGAUCUUUCAUAGUGUCAUCUUGACCAUUUGUUUUUAUUUUUCUAGGAUUUCGAUCCUUAGAACCUAAUGGUACACCAGGCUUCAAGCGCGCUUUAGAUUCAUUAGCUAUGACACUAGUGGAUGGUCCUUUAGGGACAUCAAUUCAAAUUGAGAAAUAUUCUGAAGGAAUAUGUGAUUUAGCGAUCCUUUUCAAAUCUGUAAAUGCGUCUGGCAUUUGAUUUGCAAUUUUCUACAGAUGAAUAAUCUUUUGUACUUCUUGUCCACAAAUAGAAGCACGUGAAUCAAGUUGAGAUAGUGAUGGAUUUUUUCACAAAAUUUCUCUUUUGAUGUCAUUAUUUUCUCCCCCCAAUUUUGGAAAAACUAUUUCAUCAAAUCGACAAUCUGCAAAUCGAGCCGUGAACAUAUCUCCCGUUAAUGGUUUAAGAUAGUGAAUAAUGGAGGGUGAUUCAAACCCAACAUAAGUUUCUAACCUUCUUUGGAGGCCCAUUUUGGUGUGAUUUAGUUAUUUUAUAGGCGCAUAUACACCGUAUCCAAAAAUUCUCUGAUGAGAUAUAUUAGGCUCUUGACCAAAAAUCAAUUACAACGUAGAAAAUUUAUGAUAAUUUAUCGGUCUAAGACGAACAAGUGUUGCAACAUGCAAAAUUGCACGACCCUAAACAAAGUGGACAACUUAGUUUUCAUAAGCAAUGGUCUUGCUAUCAACUGCAGACGUUUAAUUAAUGACUCGACAAGGCCAUUUUGAGUGUGAACAUGGGGUAUAGAAUGUUCAAGUCUUAUUCCAAUCGAUAAACAAUAGUCAUUAAAUGCUUGAAAUGAAAAUUCUGUGGCAUUAUCAAGGCGAAUAGACUUAAUUUGAUUAUGAGGAAACUGUGCCCGUAAUCGUAUUAUUUGUGCCAAUAAUUUUACAAAUGCCAAGUUGUGAGAUGACAAUAAGCACACAUGAGACCAUUUAGAAAAAGCAUUUAUUAGGACCAUAAAGUAUCUAAACGACCCACUAGGUGGGUGAAUGGGUCCAUAAAUAUCCCCAUGUAUGCGUUCCAAGAAUGCGGGGGAUUCAAUCCCAACUUUUGUUGGCGAUGGACUCACAAUAAUCUUGCCUUGAUAAUAAGCAUUACACGAAAAUUCACCAUUCAAAUUAACCUUCAAGUUCUUUAAUGGAUGCCCAUUUAAAUUUUCUAUGAUUUGUCUCAUCAUUAUAGAUCCAGGAUGUCCCAGAUGAUCAUGCCAAAGUACGAGAGUAUUGGAAUUAGUAAACUUCUUGUUUACUAUAGAAUGUGCCUCAAUUGCACAAAUCUUUAGCCAAUAUAGGUCAGAAGAUAAAGCAGGGAACUUUUCUAUAACACAUGUCUGCCAAGAGACAUUCUUGGUGAUACAAAGAUAUUCAAGAUUGAUUUCAUCAAUUGUCUUGAUAUGAUAACCAUUUUCAUGGAUAUCUUUAAAAUCCAUUAAGUUUCUCCGAGACUUAGGAGAAAACAUAACAUUAUUUAUGAUGAGUUUAGCUCCCUUGGGCAUGAUUAUAAUGGCUUUUCCGAAGAAUUCAAUCAAAUUAGCACUACCAAAAAUUGUAGUAAUAUUAAUCUUGACCAUGUUUAGAUGAGAGAAAUAUUUUUCGUCUUUGAAUAACGUAUGUGUAGUGCCAGAAUCAAUCAAACAAAUAUCUUCACAAUUAGACAGCUUACUUUGAAAAUUAUCCGUAUCUUCAAGUACAAUAACAUAUAUCAAGUUAAAUAUAUAUUAAAUCUUUGUACAAAGAUAAAGAUUAUACUAUAAGAAAUUGUUAAUCACACUUUACUAAGUAAUUAAAAAGAAUAUGUCCAAUUAGUGUGUGCUUAGCUUAGCUUAACAUUUUAUUUUUCAAUAGAAAGAAGAAAAAAAUGCAUUGUAUUUUUCAAUAAUUAAAAAAAAAAAGAAUAAAAACACGUAUCCAUGGAGCCAACAAUCAAUUCACUAAUAAAUAAUAAUAACUUGCAUGGGCCACCAAUCAAGUCUCUUUUUUUUUUCUUUUUUUUUUUUCCUUUUGUAGCGCCUUUCAUUUGCUUUACUUAAUGUAUCGUCCAAUCAAUCUUUUUCUUUUUCUUUUUUCUUUUGCAGGACCUACCAUUGGCUUUAAAUAAUGUAUCAUUUUUUCCUUUCUUUUUUGUCAAUAAAUAAUGAAAAAAUUGAAAUCCAAUUUAAUGCAAUAAUAAACCACAAUAAUAAAAUUAAACUAAUUAAUAUUAAUCAAAACCUAAUACUCAUGCAAACAACUACUUUUACAUGAUUUUUAUUCACUAACUCUUAUUAACAGUAAAAAAAAUAAAUUAAAAAUUAUUCAUUCUUCCAUGUUUACGAAACUGUCACCAAUCAAGUGAUCAAUUUCUUUCUACAUCCAACCAUAUGAUGUCAACAUUAUUUUCAGUGAAAAAGUUAGCUCGAAAUUUCUUUCUUUCUUCUUUAGUGAUGCUAGAUAAAGAUCAACCAAGUGCUUGAGAGCACGACAAUCACGUGAAUAAUGUCCUUUUUCACCACAUCGAAAACAAUAAUUUCUUCACGCUUCUCAUCUUUUUUAUUUUUGUUCAAGGAAUGAUUAACACCCAGAAUUGAAUUUCUUUCUUGGUCAUCACGACCACGGCCACAACCACGACUAUAUCCAGGGCCGCGACCUUUUCCACGCCUAGCGUGGUAAGCAUGCAUAUCAUUCACCUCAGGGAAUGGUGCAGAUACAGUAGGUGGAUUCUCGAAAUUUUUCGUCAAAAAAUCAUUAUUUUGUUCAUCAACGAGAAGAUGAGAACUCAGUUCAGUAUAUUUCUUGAAACCUUUUUCUCGAUAUUGCUUCUAUGAUAGUAUUUUCGAGGCAUGAAAGUGGAGAGCGUCUUUUCCAUCAUAUCGUCAUCAUUGACCGUCCCUUCACAUAGUUUCGAUUAAGAAGAAAUUCUGAACAUGACAGAAAUGUACUUAUGAAUAGACUUAUAGUCUUGAAACCUUAGAUUCAUUCAUUCAUAUUGUGAUUUUGGGAGGAUGACCAUAUUUAAGUGGUCAAACCUUUCUUUUAGGAUGUUCCACAAUACGAGUGGAUCCUUAGUAGUAAGGUAUUCAAUUUUCAAAAUUUCAUCAAGAUGAUGAUGGAACAAAAUCAUAGCGUUAGCACGAUUUUGAUUAGAUGCUGUAAUUUCUUUUUUUAUGGUGUCUCCAAGACCCAUAGCAUCUAGGGGGCUAUCAGCAUCCAGCAUUCAUAAAAUAUAGUUCUUGCUCGAACUUUGAAGUGCAACGAACUCAUACUUAGUAAGAUUAUUAUACAUACGAAAAAGGGAAGAAAAAUAAUACCUUAGCCUUUAAAUUUGAGACGGUGGAGUCUUGUGCUGAUAACAUGUUAUAAAAUAAUAAAGAAUAAAGAACAAGAGUAUAGAGAGAAGAGAGAGUAAUUGUUAUUUCUCUUGAGGAUGAUUUACAAUGAAGGAAUUCCUUCUAUUUAUAGGGGAAAUUUGCUUCAAUUUUCACACUAAAAAGACAAAUACGUCAAAUCCUGAUAGACAUCAACUAAUUCUUGAUAGAUCUUGAUAGACAUUCACUAUAACUGAUAUUCAUCAAUAUCAUAACAAGAGCAAAAUAAUUGUCUAUUCUUGAUAUGUUAAAAGUGACAAAUAAAAGUGAAAAUCUUAUCUUUUAAUUAAUGAACAAGUAACAUGACCGAUGGAGUAAAUGACUUCUCCACAUCUACUUUAUAUAUUAUAGUAAAAACAUAUGAUUUUUUUACGAAUAUAUUAUUGGGUUCAUAGUAUAUGAAAGAAGUGUGAAUGAAAAAACGGAGAAUAAAAUGAUGGAGGGGAAAGAGACACUAAAAUGGAAAGUGUACUCCCAAAUUAGAAAGUUUACUCUUUCUCCCACAUUGGUGGAAGAAGAGAACUUGAAAGUGUUUAUAAUCAAGAACACUCACUCCACAUGGGAAGUGAGGCAAGAAAUAAUAGAUGUCUCACGCCCUCAUUGUCGUUACUCGCUCGGCUCGGCUUCGACUUCGGCUUCGGAUUUGGAUUUGGAUAGUGAUCGAUCGAUGAGAUCUAUCUUUUUAGACAAAUUUCUGUAGUGUUUUGACAGUUGCACUGUUUUGAAGUGAACUGAUGCAUUGUUUUCGAACUGGUGCUUCAAAAAUGAUACAUUUUUUUGAACUGAUGAACUGAGGCUACAGAAGGUUGCAAUGGGUUCGAAAUAAUGUUUCAGUAGGAUGUAAUCCUUCAAUGAAGUGACACACUAAUUCAUGAAAUGAGAUGACUGUUCAGGAAAAGAUGCAUUCUUUAAUGAACAGACAUGAACUUACAGCAAAGGUGUAACCUUUGGAGUGAACUCUUUUCACAGAGGAAUGUUAUGGCUAUAUAAACUUGCUUUCAUUCACAGGUUUUGAUACGAAAUUUCAGAAUAAAAAAUACUCUUCUUGUCUUUAAAAAUUGUGUGAUCAUUCAAACUGUUGAGUGCGUUCGACGUGUCUAAAUAUUUGAGGUACCGCUAUAUUUGGAUUGAAGGCCAUUUUAUCCUGGGAGGAAAAAUUCCAUAACCUCGGGUACACUGAGAGGAAUUGUUUCCUUAAUGAAACUCCAUGAAUUCGGACGACUUAGCCUUAUUCAUUUCUGUUUCAUCUUGAUUUCUGAAAAUAAAAUAUACUUCUAAGAAAGAUCACUUUGAUCUUGUGUUGAGGGUAUUCUACAUAUACAGAUUAUGCGUACCGGUAGAAGGAAAUAACAAUCUUAAGGAAACAACUUUCAGAAUCUGUAUAGCUUGUUUUUGGAGAUCAAAGUUUUAACUUUCUACUCCGCCUGAACUUAACUAAUAAUUUGAAGUCAUAAAAAUUUCAUUACAAGUUAAAGAUCAUCCGGUUGACAAUUGGAAGUCAUAAAAACUUCAUUGUCAACUAGAAACAAGAAGAAAAGUUUAAAGUUGCUUAACUUUAUAAGUAGUCAUCUGAAAAUACUAAGUAUUUUUUGUCUUGUGGUGACAGGAAAAAUGACAAGCGAUAGUCAAAUGCAAGAUGCGGCAACGUCUGUGGGGUUAACUAAUAUUGUCACAUCAAGUCGCACAAAUGCUCCGCCUACAAUGGCACCAGCGGAAAAGCCUGGAAAAUUUAUGGGCAUUGACUUUAAAUGAUGACAAUAAAAGAUGUUCUUUUAGCUCACCACUCUGUGUAUGCAACGGUUCACUAGUGAAGACGCUCUUGAGGUGCCCGAGGGAACCUCGGACAAAGAGCGUUUUGUAAUUGUAGAAACUUGGAAACAUUCAGACUUCUUUUAUAGGAAUUAUAUUCUGAGUGGUCUCCAAAACGACCUCUACAAUGUCUACAGUGGAACAAAGACAUCGAAGAAAUUGUGGGGUGCACUUGAACAAAAAUAUAAAACAGAGGAUACAGGAAUUAAGAAAUUCCUUGUUGCACGGUUCCUGAACUUUAAAAUGAUAGAUAGCAAAUCGGUUGUCUCUCAAGUGCAGGAGUUGCAAGUCAUCAUACAUGAUCUCCUAGCAGAAGGUAUAUCUUUAAAAAAUACCUUAGUUGAACAAAUUUAAAAAGUUCUUAAUACUCACAAAAACUGUUUUGUAGGUUUUAUUGUGAAUGAUGCAUUUCAAGUAGCAGCGAUAAUUGAGAAGCUACCACCUUUUUGGAAAGACUUCAAAAACUACUUGAAGCAUAAACGCAAGAAGAUGAUUGUCGAAGAUCUUACUAUCCGAUUGCGUAUUAAAAAGGACAAUAAAGCUGCCGAGAGAUGGUCAAAAGGGAAUUCUACAAUUAAUGGAACCCAUAUUGUAGAAGAUGACCAAAACAAUUCUAAGAAAAGAAAGAAAGCUGAACAAGGAAGCAAUCAACCCAAGAAGAAAUUCAAGGAAAAAUGCUUCAAUUGUGGCAAGAUGGACCACAAGUCCAUGGAUUGUCGUGCCCCGAAGAAAUGUAAGAAAAAGGAUCAAGCAAAUAUGAUUGAAUCCAACAAAAAAUGCGAUGAUUUGUGUGCUAUGUUCUCAGAAUGCAACUUGGGGGGAAAUCCUCUUCAAUGGUGGAUGGAUUCUGGUGCCACCCGCCAUGUAUGUGCCAACAAAGAGUUGUUUUCAUCAUUCUCUCCGGCUCAAGUAGAAGAAAUGAUCUACAUGGCUAACUUCGCUACGGCUAAGGUAGAAGGCACAGGAAAAAUAUGUUAGAAAAUGACUUCAAGAAAGGUCUUGACACUUAACAAUGUCUUGUAUGUUUCGGAGUUACGUAGGAAUUUAAUUACUGUUUCACUACUAGACAAGAACGGAUUCAAAUGUGCAACCAUUUUUGAAAAAAUUGUAAUUAGCAAAGGAGAAAUGUAUGUGGAAAAAGGCUAUCUGAUCGAAGGCCUUUAUAAGAUGAAUGUAAUGACUGUUGAAAUAAACAAGUUCAAAUUCUUCUUAUUUGUUUGAGUCUUAUGAUUUAUGGAAUGAACGUUUUGGCCAUGUUAAUUAUAAAACGUUACAAAAAUUAAUUAACUUAGAAGUUUUACCAAACUUUGAGUGCACUAAAUUAAAGUGUCAAAUAUGUGUGGAAUCGAAGUAUGGAAGGCAUCCUUAUAAGUCCGUUGAAGGGAAUUCCAAUCCCUUAGACUUAAUACACACUGACAUUUGUGAUAUGAAGUUAACACCAUCACGUGGUGGGGAAAAGUAUUUCAUAACUUUUAUUGAUGAUUGCACGAGAUAUUGUUAUGUCUAUCUGCUAAAUAGUAAGGAUGAAGCAAUAGAUGCGUUUAGGCAAUAUAAAACCAAAGUUGAAAAUCAAUUAGACAAAAGGAUCAAAAUCAUAAAAAGUGAUAGGGGUGAAGAAUAUGAAUCUCCCUUUGCGAAAAUAUGUGUAGAGAAUGGAAUCAUCCAUCAAACUACGGACCCAUAUUCACCUCAAUCUAAUGGAAUUGCAGAAAGGAAAAACCAAACUUUGAAGAAAAUGAUGAAUGCCUUACUUAUAAGUUCUAGAUUACCGCAAAACUUGUGGGGGGAGGCUAUCCUUACGGCCAACCUUAUACUCAAUAGAGUUCCCCAUAGUAAGACACAAUCAAUUCCUUAUGAAAAGUGGAAAGGAAGAAAACCCAACUUGAAAUAUUUCAAAGUGUGGGGGUGUCUAGCAAAGGUCCAAGUUCCUGUGCCUAAAAGGGUUAAGAUAGGACCUAAGACGAUAGAUUGUGUGUUCAUAGGAUAUGCUAAAAGAAGUAAGGCAUGUCGAUUUUUGAUUCAUAAAUUCAAACAUCCGGAUAUUAAUGAAAAAACUGUAAUUGAAUCAGACAAUGCUGAAUUCUUUGAAAACAUUUAUCCGUAUAAAACUAGACAUGAACAGCCUAGUGGGGGAUCUAAAUGACCUCGUGAUGAACCAAUUAAGAAUGAACAUAAUGAAUAAAAUCCAAGACGUAGUAUACGUCAAAGAAGUUUACUUCGUUUGGAUUGGAUUUUGUGAUAUUUUUUUUGGAAAAUGAGCCUCAAACAUUUAAGGAAGCGAUGGAAUCUUCGGAUUCAUCCUUUUGGAAAGAGGCAGUCAAUAGUGAGAUAGAUUCAAUCUUAAGAAACCAUAUAUGGGAAUUGGUUGACCUUCCUCCCGGAAAUAAACCUUUAGGUUCCAAAUGGAUCUUCAAAAGAAAGAUAAAAUUGGAUGGUACUAUUGAUAAAUACAAGGCAAGACUUGUAGUAGAAGGCUUCAAACAGAAAGAAGGCCUUGAUUACUUUGAUACAUACUUGCCAGUAACAAGGAUAACAUCGAUUCGAAUGUUAAUUACCUUGGCUGCGGUAUAUGGCCUUGAGAUCCAUCAAAUGGAUGUGAAAACCGCUUUCCUAAAUGGAGAAUUGAAGGAAGAAAUAUACAUGAAACUGCCUAUGGGUUUUGUAUUUUUCCAAGUUCCUGUGCCUAAAAGGGUUAAGAUAGGACCUAAGACGAUAGAUUGUGUGUUCAUAGGAUAUGCUAAAAGAAGUAAGGCAUGUCGAUUUUUGAUUCAUAAAUUCAAACAUCCGGAUAUUAAUGAAAAAACUGUAAUUGAAUCAGACAAUGCUGAAUUCUUUGAAAACAUUUAUCCGUAUAAAACUAGACAUGAACAGCCUAGUGGGGGAUCUAAAUGACCUCGUGAUGAACCAAUUAAGAAUGAACAUAAUGAAUAAAAUCCAAGACGUAGUAUACGUCAAAGAAGUUUACUUCGUUUGGAUUGGAUUUUGUGAUAUUUUUUUUGGAAAAUGAGCCUCAAACAUUUAAGGAAGCGAUGGAAUCUUCGGAUUCAUCCUUUUGGAAAGAGGCAGUCAAUAGUGAGAUAGAUUCAAUCUUAAGAAACCAUAUAUGGGAAUUGGUUGACCUUCCUCCCGGAAAUAAACCUUUAGGUUCCAAAUGGAUCUUCAAAAGAAAGAUAAAAUUGGAUGGUACUAUUGAUAAAUACAAGGCAAGACUUGUAGUAGAAGGCUUCAAACAGAAAGAAGGCCUUGAUUACUUUGAUACAUACUUGCCAGUAACAAGGAUAACAUCGAUUCGAAUGUUAAUUACCUUGGCUGCGGUAUAUGGCCUUGAGAUCCAUCAAAUGGAUGUGAAAACCGCUUUCCUAAAUGGAGAAUUGAAGGAAGAAAUAUACAUGAAACUGCCUAUGGGUUUUGUAUUUUCAGGAAAGAAAAACAAGGUGUGUAAACUUAUUAAGUCAUUGUAUGGACUAAAGCAAGCACCUAAAAAAUGGCAUGCAAAGUUUUACCAAACCAUGUUGGCAAACGGAUUCAAAAUAAAUGAAUGUGAUAAAUGUAUUUAUAUUAAAUACAUUCCAAAUCACCAAGUCAUUAUUUGUUUAUAUGUGGAUGAUAUGUUAAUCAUCAGUAGAGACAUUUCGAACAUAAAUGCUACAAAAUGAAUGCCCGAGAGCAAGUUUGAUAUGAAAGACCUUGGAGUUACGGAUGUGAUCUUAGGUAUAAGAAUCCAUAGAACUCCACAAGGGUUGGCAUUGUCACAGUCUCAUUAUAUUGAAAAGGUACUUGACAAAUUAAAGUAUAUGAAAUUUGGUAUUGCUAAGACUCAAUUGGAUGCGAGCUUUGCACUUCGAAAGAAUGAAGGUGAAAGUGACUCAUAAUUGGAGUAUGCAAGAGUAUUGGGAUGUUUAAUAUAUAUAACGAACUGUACAUGACCAGACAAAGCAUGCGCUAUCAGUAAAUUGAGUUGGUACACGAGUAGUCCCAACAAAACUAAUUGGAUGGCAUUGAAAAGAGUUUUGGGGUUUCUUGAAUACACUCAAGAUUAUACUUUGAAUUAUAAUAAAUAUCCCGCAGUACUUGAAGGAUCUAGUGCUGCAAAUUGGAUCACUGGAUCGACCGAAGUAAAAUCCACAAGUGAAUAUGUAUUUACUAUCGGUGGAGGAGCGGUCUCUUGGAAAUUAUCCAAACAGACUUGUAUUGCUCGCUCUACAAUGGAAUCUAAAUUUAUCACAUUAGAUAAAGUCAGUGAAGAAGCAGAAUGGCUCCGGAAUUUCUUGGAAGAUAUUCCUUAUUGGCCCAAACCAGUGGCACCAGUAUGUAUACACUAUGAUAGCCAAGCGACAAUAGGCAAGGCAGGGAGCAUGAUGUACAACGGUAAACCUCGUCACAUACGAUAGAGACAUAAUACCAUUAGGGAACUUCCCUCUAGUGGAAUUAUCACUAUUGACUAUGUAAAGUCAAAGGAUAAUGUGUCGGAUCCACUUAUAAAAGGUCUAUCUAGAAAAGGAGUGGAAAGAACAUCCAAGGGAAUGGGUUUAAGGCCUAGGAUGAGUCAGCAUGGCGGUAGGUCUACCUAGCAGACUGGAGAUCCCAAGAGAUAGGUUUAAGGAGAUCAAACAAAGUUAUGUCUGACAGGUUCAACAUUAUCAAUUACCCAACUCAUUCUCAUGAUGUACAAAAUGUUUAGUAAACAAGGAUAAGACUUAAGGUGAAAAGUCUUUUAAUGAUUAUCUAAAUUUGGCAGAUUAGACCAAAUAGUUUAAUCUACAGGAUUGAACAUUUAGAAAUCACCUAUGUGAGAGCGAAGUGGAAGCCGCUUCAAAGAGAAUGUUAGUAAAGGCGUAUUCUCUUAGCUCUCAUGAAACUGGGACGUGUUCAUGGCUGAAAAGAACAAAACCGUAAGAACCAUAAAUGGUAAAAGGUUGGUUGUGUGACAUGUUUACUCUUUCUCCCACAUUGGUGGAAGAAGAGAACUUAAAAGUGUUUAUAAUCAAGAACACUUACUCCACAUGGCAAGUGAGGCAAGAAAUAAUAGAUGCCUCGCAUCGUCGUCGUCGUAGCUCGCUCGCUCGGCUCGGCUUCGGAUUUGGAUUUGGAUAAUGAUCGAUGAGAUCUAUCUUUUGGACAAUCUUUAUUUGAAUUUCGAAGAAUGCCAAGGAAAAAUGCUGUAAAAUUUUUCUGCAGUGUUUCGAUAGUUUCACUGUUUCAAGUGAACUGAUUCAUUAUUUUUGAAUUGGUGCUUCAGAAAUGAUACAUUGUUAUGAACUGAGGCUACAGAAGGUUGCAAUGGUUUGAAAUGAUGAUUCAGAAGAAUAUAAUGCUUCAACGAAGUGAAACACUGAUUCAUGAAAUGAGAUGACUGUUCAGGAAAAGAUGCAAUCUUUGAUGAACAGACAUGAACUUACAGCAAAGGUGUAACCUUUGGAGUGAACCAUUGCCUCUUUUCAGAAGAGGCAUGUUAUGGCUAUAUAAACUUGCUUUCAUCCACAGGUUUUGAUACGAAAUUUCUGAAUAAAAAAUACUCUUCUUGUCUUCAAAAAUUUUGUGUGAUCAUUUAAACUGGUGAGUGCGUUUGAUGAGUCCAAAUAUUUGAGAUACCGCUAUAUUUGGAUUGAAGGUCAUUUUAUCCUGGGAGGAAAAAUUUCAUAAACUCGGGUACAGUGAGGGGAAUUGUUUCCUUAAGGAAACUCCGUGAAUUCGGACGACUUGGCCUUAUUCAUUUCUGUUUCAUCUUGAUUUUUGAAAAUAAAAUACACCUCUAAGAAAGAUCACUUUGAUCUUAUGUUGAGGGUAUUUUUUGUACUUCAUUGAGUUCUUGGUUUAAACUUGAACUAGUUGAAGUUAUCGUUCUACAUAUACAGAUUCUGCGUACCUGUAGAAGGAAAUAACAUAUAUAUCAUCAUUUAGUAUAAAAAACAAAUUAAAUGUGGAUGGUUCACAUAAAUUAGAGCAUAACAAUUAAUCUUGUCUAUAAAUAUAAGAGGUUAGCAAUAUGGAUACACAAAUCAUCAAAACAAAUUAACAUCCCUAAAGAUGAAGACCAUAUUACUCUUUCUUUUCCUUGAAAUAAUAUUCCUUCCCUUGUCAGCCUUGGCAACUCCCAACAACCAAGUAUUGAUAGAUGUACUCGAUACUAAUGGUAAUCCCCUCAACAAAAGCAAUAGGUACUGGAUAACUCUGGCCUACACCGCUAUGGACGGUGGAGGCAUACGUGUUGCUAAUCUUGGUAGUGAUCUACAACAAACCACUAUGUGUCCUACAUCAAUAGUACAAUCUCACCUUCCUACAGACGAUGGUAUCGCAGUUUAUUUUAUACCUAAGAAUCCAAAACAUCAAAAGAUUGUGGAGUCCACUCCGAUAAACAUCCAUUUCUAUUUUGAUUAUCCG